UACGUAGGUGGCAAGCGUUGUCCGGAUUUAUUGGGUUUAAAGGGUGCGUAGGCGGUCCUAUAAGUCAGUUGUGAAAUACGGCAGCUUAACUGUCGAGGUGCAAUUGAUACUGCAGGACUUGAGUACAGACGAGGUAGGCGGAAUUGACGGUGUAGCGGUGAAAUGCGUAGAGAUCGGCAGGAACACCCAGGGGGAAACCAGUCGACUGGGCAGCACCUGACGCUGAGGUGCGAGAGCGUGGGGAGCGAACCGG
rnacentral:rRNA from 1 species